rnacentral:lncRNA from 1 species
CGGGCCGCCGUAGGUGUUCCUCCAAGUUCACGCGGGCCGCGACAGCUCAACGAUAAGCGAAAGCCUGGUGCCGCCACGUGUCGAUGACUCAGCAACCCUUAGCCGCCUUUAUGGCCCUCGCGGGCCGCGUAAAUGUUAUGCAUGGGUUUACGCGGGCCGCGUAAAACCCAUAUUUUUGCUAUAAAUAGCCUGGACAUCGAGCUUUCAUUCUGUGUCGAAAAAAAUUCUCAAAAACGAAAGUAUGCUGCAUAAAAUCAUAAUUUUCAUUAGGGAGGCGCUGCUACGGUACAGGGUUAUCAGGCUUAUCAGUAGGCUAAACUCUACCCCAUACACUUACAAUCAAAGUAGAUGCUAG